AUUGAACGCUGGCGGCAGGCCUAACACAUGCAAGUCGAACGAGUGGCGGACGGGAGAGUAAUGCUUGGGAAUCUGGCUUUUGGAGGGGGAUAACGAUGGGAACGUGUCGCUAAUACCGCUAACCCUAGCAUGAGCCCAAGUGGGAUUGGGUAGUUGGUGGGGGAAUGGCAUACCAAGCCGACGACCUCUAGCUGGUCUGAGAGGAUGCCCGGCAAAACCGGAACUGAGACACGGCCCGUACUCCUACGGGAGGCAGCAGUGGGGAAUAUUGCGCAAUGGGGGCAACCGGACGCAGCCAUGCCGCGUGAAUGAAGAAGGCCUUCGGGUUGUAAAGUUCGUUCGGUGACGAGGCGUUAAUCACAGAAGAAGCACCGGCUAACUCCGUGCCAGCAGCCGCGGUAAUAC
rnacentral:rRNA from 1 species